GCUCAACUUUUUCCCUGGAAGGCAGGGGACAGAAGCAAGUAGAAGCAAAGACAGGGUCUUCCAUACAUUUACUUUCACCCAUUGUCCUGCCCUCUGCCUUUUCAAAGGCAGGAAUGAGUGAGACAAGUGGCUAUCGAAUCAGGAUGAUCAGUAGUGGUGGUAGUCACCACCACCAGGCACCAGUUUGUGCUCAUACAUUGCUGUCCAUAUAAGAACUACUUCAAGACAUGGAUUAAAAAUGAGACAGAUGCUCCUGAAUUUCCCAGUGUUGCUGAAAAAUAGAGUUUGGUAUCACCAAGGUCACCCUGUUGCUAUAAUUGCCCGGACGUGAGAUGGGUGCUGCUUCAUCAUUCCUGUAGGUUCUCUUUUUGUGGUUUUUUCUGCAGGAUGGUGGACUCAGGGAAGAAUCUCAGAGGUAUUAGGGGGCCCAGGGCCGACUAUAGGUUACUAUGGUCUCUGAAGAGCUGGAUUCUAUGGUCUCUGAAGAGCAGGUCCAUGCUUGGCAGGAACUGAGGCAGGUGCUGCCCCUUUGGUCUGGAAGGAGCUCUCCUGGAGGAUCUGGGAGCUCUUGGGACUGGCAUUGUCAGUUGCUUCCUGGGGUUCAGUGGGAUGCGGAGCUGUGGUUUCUGCAGCAGCUGGCACGGACUGCAGGCUCCCCUGCCCACAGCUCAUCGUUGGAGGUCCAGUCUGAGGACCAGUCUGAGUGGUCACUGUUGGGGGUCCUGACAGAAGCCACCCAGUGGAAGGAGCUGAGCCAGAACCAAAGUACCUUUUGCUGCCGCCAAAUCCUAAAGUCAUACAAACAGAAUGUGAUUAUCUACCACUUCAAGAGACACUGGGAGAUCUAGGACAAUAAAACAGAAUCACAUUUCCGCAACCUCCAAGAAUGGUAAUUAAUCCCAACUCUGCCCUAUGGCCAAACCAUUUCUUGAGCCAUUCCCACAUUGCCAAUCCACCACUAAUGAGAGUGAUUACAGGAUGUGAAGGUAUUAGGGUGUCAGUUUGGACAAUACAUCUGACUCACCCCACCCACCACAAGAUCAAGGAGGUCAGCAUGCAUGUCCUGCACCCUCAAGCUGUGUGCCAUCCCACCUUUGUAAUGACGUGGGGUACGGCUUAUCUGGGAUGUGAUAAUUCUACUUUAAUGUGGGUGGAGCCAGUCAAGUGUAUCAUCCAAACAAACCCAGAUCCACCACAAAGACUGCUCAGUAUACUAUUUCUGGUUGUGUUCUACAGUAUCCUAUUGAGAGUACAGGUAGCUGCCAGGCAGAUGUGUUGCAACUCAUUAAACCUUUCCUCAGCCUGCAUUAAUGCUAAUGAGAUAUUUGCUUUUUACUUAGGAACAUAUGGAUUUGUGCUAUAGCUCUGUGUCCCAAAUACAUACAAAUGAAAGCUUUUUGAAGUGUUGAAAUGGCCUGGGGUCUCUCUGCCUGGAAAUAUCACUGGAGUUGAGGAGAACACUGGUGAAAAUCAAAAGCAAAAUUAUAUAUUUCUGAUUUGCACCUGUCUUAAACUUCCUUUUUGAUAGUUAAUUUGUAAUUUUAUUUUACUUC